AAGGAUAAGAGUUUGAUCCUGGCUCAGGACGAACGCUGGCGGCGUGCCUAACACAUGCAAGUUGAGCGGAGAUAUAUGGAGCUUGCUUUAUAUAACUUAGCAGCGAACGGGUGAGUAACACGUAGAUAAUCUAUCCUAUACUGGGGGAUAGCCCGAUGAAAGUUGGAUUAAUACCGCAUAUAGCUAUAUAGUUGCAUGAUUAUGUAGUGAAAGAUUUAUUGGUAUAGGAGGAGUCUGCGGCACAUUAGCUAGUAGGUGAGGUAAAGGCUUACCUAGGCGACGAUGUGUAGCCGGUCUGAGAGGAUGAACGGCCACAAUGGAACUGAGACACGGUCCAUACUCCUACGGGAGGCAGCAGUGGGGAAUAUUGCACAAUGGGGGAAACCCUGAUGCAGCAACGCCGCGUGAGUGAAGAAGGUUUUCGGAUUGUAAAGCUCUGUUAGCAGGGAAGAGGAAGGACGGUACCUGCAGAGGAAGCCACGGCUAACUACGUGCCAGCAGCCGCGGUAAUACGUAGGUGGCAAGCGUUGUUCGGAAUAACUGGGCGUAAAGGAUGCGUAGGCGGUUAAACAAGUUAUAUGUUAAAUAUAUAGGCUUAACCUGUAGAAAGCAUAUAAAACUGUUUAACUAGAGUGCAGGAGAGGUAAGUGGAAUUCCUAGUGUAGCGGUGAAAUGCGUAGAGAUUAGGAAGAACACCAGUGGCGAAGGCGACUUACUGGACUGUAACUGACGCUGAGGCAUGAGAGCAUGGGGAGCAAACAGGAUUAGAUACCCUGGUAGUCCAUGCUGUAAACGAUGGGUACUAGGUGUGGGUUGUGAAUAACAAUUCGUGCCGUCGCAAACGCAAUAAGUACCCCGCCUGAGGAGUACGAUCGCAAGAUUAAAACUCAAAGGAAUUGACGGGGACCCGCACAAGCAGCGGAGCAUGUGGUUUAAUUCGAAGCAACGCGAAGAACCUUACCUAAACUUGACAUACCUUGAAUUACCUUGUAAUGAGGGAAGCUCGCAAGAGCAAGGAUACAGGUGGUGCAUGGUUGUCGUCAGCUCGUGUCGUGAGAUGUUGGGUUAAGUCCCGCAACGAGCGCAACCCUUGUUGUUAAUUGCUAACAGGUUAAGCUGAGCACUUUAGCGAGACAGCCUAGGUUAACUAGGAGGAAGGUGGGGAUGACGUCAAAUCAUCAUGCCCCUUACGUUUAGGGCUACACACGUGCUACAAUGGUGAGAACAGAGAGAAGCAAGCUAGUGAUAGUGAGCAAAACUUAUAAAACUCAUCUCAGUUCGGAUUGCAGGCUGAAACUCGCCUGUAUGAAGAUGGAGUUGCUAGUAAUCGCGAAUCAGAAUGUCGCGGUGAAUACGUUCCCGGGUCUUGUACACACCGCCCGUCACACCAUGAGAGUUGGCAACACCCGAAACCUGUGGGCUAACCAUAUAGGAGGCAGCAGUCUAAGGUGGGGUCAGUGAUUGGGGUGAAGUCGUAACAAGGUAGCCGUAGGAGAACCUGCGGCUGGAUCACCUCCUUU
rnacentral:rRNA from 24 species